rnacentral:rRNA from 1 species
AUUGAACGCUAGCGGGAUGCCUUACACAUGCAAGUCGAACGGCAGCGGGAAGUAGCUUGCUACUUUGCCGGCGAGUGGCGAACGGGUGAGUAAUGUAUCGGAACGUGCCCAGUAGCGGGGGAUAACUACGCGAAAGCGUGGCUAAUACCGCAUACGCCUACGGGGAAGGGGGGACGUCUUCGGAGCCUCUCACUAUUGGAGCGGCCGAUAUCGGAUUAGCUAGUUGGUGGGGUAAAGGACCG